AGUGAACGCUGGCGGUAGGCCUAACACGUGCAAGUCGAACGGCAGCACAGUAAGAGCUUGCUCUUACGGGUGGCGAGUGGCGGACGGGUGAGGAAUACAUCGGAAUCUACUUUUUCGUGGGGGAUAACGUAGGGAAACUUACGCUAAUACCGCAUACGACCUACGGGUGAAAGCAGGGGAUCUUCGGACCUUGCGCGAUUGAAUGGGCCGAUGUCGGAUUAGCUAGUUGGCGGGGUAAAGGCCCACCAAGGCGACGAUCCGUAGCUGGUCUGAGAGGAUGAUCAGCCACACUGGAACUGAGACACGGUCCAGACUCCUACGGGAGGCAGCAGUGGGGAAUAUUGGACAAAGGGCGCAAGCCUGAUCCAGCCAUACCGCGUGGGUGAAGAAGGCCUUCGGGUUGUAAAGCCCUUUUGUUGGGAAAGAAAAGCAGCAGGUUAAUACCCCGCUGUUCUGACGGUACCCAAAGAAUAAGCACCGGCUAACUUCGUG
rnacentral:rRNA from 1 species